AACGAACGCUGGCGGCAGGCUUAACACAUGCAAGUCGAGCGCCCCGCAAGGGGAGCGGCAGACGGGUGAGUAACGCGUGGGAACGUACCUUUUGGUUCGGAACAACUCCGGGAAACUGGAGCUAAUUCCGGAUAAGCCCUAACGGGGAAAGAUUUAUCGCCGAAAGAUCGGCCCGCGUCUGAUUAGCUAGUUGGUGAGGUAACGGCUCACCAAGGCGACGAUCAGUAGCUGGCCUGAGAGGAUGAUCAGCCACACUGGGACUGAGACACGGCCCAGACUCCUACGGGAGGCAGCAGUGGGGAAUAUUGGACAAUGGGCGCAAGCCUGAUCCAGCCAUGCCGCGUGAGUGAUGAAGGCCUUAGGGUUGUAAAGCUCUUUUGUCCGGGAAGAUAAUGACUGUACCGGAAGAAUAAGCCCCGGCUAACUUCGUG
rnacentral:rRNA from 1 species